ACCACUCGCGGUCUUGUAACAUUCACUGGUAAAUUUUGUAUUUUUACUUAAUACAAUUUUUUACACUUGGUCCUUCGAACCGGAUUAGUGCCGUGGCCAGGUUCACUGUUCGUGAAAAAAAGCGUCAAUCUCGGCUUCGACAGAGAUUGAAUUAGCAACAGCUAAUUAUAAAUUUAAUAUAUAUGUUUAAUGGGUUAAUACUACCUUUAUUAUCAAUGUCUACUCCUCUAAUUUUACACCUAUGAUUAGAAAGUGACGUUUAUUCUAACGAGUAAACCGCUAACGGUUCCUUAAACAUUGUUUGCCAUCUACCUUUUACUUAUUUUUAAUGUACUCGUUACUUUACUUUGGUUUUGAUAUUAUAU